rnacentral:misc_RNA from 1 species
UCCGGUUUGUCACCGGCAGUCCCCCAUGAGUCCCCGACAUUACUCGCUGGCAACAUGGGGCAGGGGUUACGCUCGUUGCGGGACUUAACCCAACAUCUCACGACACGAGCUGACGACAACCAUGCACCACCUGUGAACCGGCCCCAAAGGGGAAGGGCUGUUUCCAGCCCGGUCCGGCCCAUGUCAAGCCUUGGUAAGGUUCUUCGCGUUGCAUCGAAUUAAUCCGCAUGCUCCGCCGCUUGUGCGGGCCCCCGUCAAUUCCUUUGAGUUUUAGCCUUGCGGCCGUACUCCCCAGGCGGGGCACUUACUGCGUUAGCUGCGGCACGGAAGGAGUCGACACCUCCCACACCUAGCACCCAUCGUUUACGGCGUGGACUAC